AAGGCUAUACUUUCAGGGAUCGUUUCUAUAGUUCAUUACUAGAGAAGUUUCUCUGAUCGUAUAGAGCACCAAAGGGCAAGUGUGCUGCC
ensembl:snoRNA U3 Small nucleolar RNA U3